rnacentral:rRNA from 1 species
AUUGAACGCUGGCGGCAUGCUUUACACAUGCAAGUCGAACGGCAGCACGGGUGCUUGCACCUGGUGGCGAGUGGCGAACGGGUGAGUAAUGCAUCGGAACGUGCCCAUGAGUGGGGGAUAGCCCGGCGAAAGCCGGAUUAAUACCGCAUACGCCCUUAGGGGGAAAGCGGGGGAUCUUCGGACCUCGCGCUAUUGGAGCGGCCGAUGUCGGAUUAGCUAGUAGGUGAGGUAAAGGCUCACCUAGGCGACGAUCCGUAGCUGGUCUGAGAGGAUGAUCAGCCACACUGGGACUGAGACACGGCCCAGACUCCUACGGGAGGCAGCAGUGGGGAAUUUUGGACAAUGGGCGCAAGCCUGAUCCAGCCAUGCCGCGUGCAGGAUGAAGGCC